rnacentral:lncRNA from 1 species
AUGACAAAGGGAAAGAAGAGGGGCACUCAUUCUAUGUUUUCUAGGUCUUUUAGGAAACAUGGAGUUGUUCCUUUCAACACAUACAUGAGAAUCUACAAGAAGGGUGAUAGUGUAGACAUCAACGAAAUGGGUACUGUUCAAAAAAGAAUGCCCCGUAAGUGUUACCACAGAAAACCAGAAGAGUCUACAAUGUCAUCCAGCAUGCUGUGGGCAUCAUUGUCAACAAGCAAGUUAAGGGCAAGAUUUUGGCCAAGAGGAUUAAUGUGCAGAUUGAGCACAUCAAACACUCAAAGAGCAGAGACAGCUUCCUGAAGCGGGUGAAAGAGAACGAACAGAAGAAAAGGGAAGCCAAAGAGAAGGGCACCUGGGUGCAGCUGAAGCGCCAGCCUGCGCCACCCAGGGAAGCACACUUUGUGAGGACUAACGGAAAAGAGCCUGAGCUGUUGGAGCCCAUUCCAUACGAAUUCAUGGCCUAA